rnacentral:tRNA from 1 species
ACACUGGUGGCUCAGUAGCAGAGAUCUCGCUUUCCACGCAGGAGACCCAGGUUCCAUUCCCGGCCAGUGUA